rnacentral:rRNA from 1 species
UACGUAGGGUGCGAGCGUUAAUCGGAAUUACUGGGCGUAAAGCGUGCGCAGGCGGUUCGCAAAGUCUGAUGUGAAAGCCCCGGGCUUAACCUGGGAACUGCAUUGGUGACUGGCAGGCUUUGAGUGUGGCAGAGGGAGGUAGAAUUCCACGUGUAGCAGUGAAAUGCGUAGAGAUGUGGAGGAAUACCGAUGGCGAAGGCAGCCUCCUGGGCCAACACUGACGCUCAUGCACGAAAGCGUGGGGAGCAAACAGG